UAUCUUUCCGUGCUGUCCAAAGAUGUGAAAUUUGUAAGGGGAGGGUAGUCGUGGACCCAAACGUGUUUAACUUGAAGGACUGUUACGUGAGAAUUCGACAGGGUGAUGGCAUCACUGGACGCUCUGAUGUGUCAGAUAUAGUGGAUAUCAUGAUCAUCUCAGGAACUGUACUAUAUCUAUCCACAUUUAACUCCCAGCCGCUCUGGAUGCGAUUGAUGUUCAUUCCCUGCGUGUUUGCCUGCCUAAUGACAAGAAGAAAGAUGAGGAGGAACCUUCAAAUGUUAAUGGGCAUUUGAUCCCUAGCUCAAAUCCAUAUUUGAGUGUUAUAAUAAAAUGCAGUGCAUCAAAUUUAA